rnacentral:rRNA from 1 species
UACGUAGGGUGCAAGCGUUGUCCGGAAUUAUUGGGCGUAAAGAGCUCGUAGGCGGUUUGUCGCGUCUGCUGUGAAAACCGGAGGCUCAACCUCCGGCCUGCAGUGGGUACGGGCAGACUAGAGUGCGGUAGGGGAGAUUGGAAUUCCUGGUGUAGCGGUGGAAUGCGCAGAUAUCAGGAGGAACACCGAUGGCGAAGGCAGAUCUCUGGGCCGUAACUGACGCUGAGGAGCGAAAGCAUGGGGAGCGAACAGG